ensembl:lncRNA
UCGAUGAUACAAGGAAAUCAACACGCUCUUCUGUGGUGCAUUUUUUCCUCUCUCAACAAAAACUGCCUUCUGUGAUACCAGUGCAGCUCCACCAGUCCUAGGAACUGUAGGAACAUUGUUAGGAUGAAAAUAACACUCAUGUUUUCCCACUUCCCCAAUCAUAAUGCAGGUGGCAGUAGAGUGAGGUGCCUGUAGCCAUCCACACCACCUGGUAUUAAAAUUAGCACCCUGACUGCUGCCAGUGGACCUGCAUAGGUGUUGGGAAUGUAGUGAAUGCCCACUCAGCGUAGGCAUGGCUUGGAACUGUGGAACUGAGGAACUGAAAAUGUUUGAAAAGUCCUUCUGUAGAGAGAAGAGAGGAUACAAAAGCCUGAUUAGUUAGUCCUUGCAGGCUUCCGUGGCUAGGAAGGUGUUGGCAAUAUUGCUCUAAAAUGGGUUAUAAAUCCUUAUGACUUGGGUCAUUAAAGAACUAUGUCUCUCCCUAUUUUGCUUUGCUCUAAAUGAACUGAGAACUUCUACAAAGAGGAAGAAAAUCCCUCUGCAUUCAGGAAAAACCGGAAGGUGAGGAAGCAAGCUGUGUUUUUACUGUUCUUUGCUUUCUUGUUUCAUUUUGCUUCCAGCUCCACCGACUUGACACAUGCUCUGGUUUCCCCCAACAUGUAUGUGGAAUACUCUGGUCUUGCCUCUUGAGACCAUGACCCAAGCAUGUCAUCUCUUCAGCUACUAAAUUCUUCCUAUCUCACGUGUUCUCUUUCCUCCAGCAAAUAAUAAUUAAUACUUUUUUCAUGUUUUUCACCUGGACUCUCGUCUGCUUGGAACUGACACUACCAAUUGAUUUCAUGUAAUGCACACAGCACAGUCUAAAUAUGUUUAUUUCCAUCUACAUAUAUGUAGGGUUCAGACAUUAAAAUCGAUGCCUCGGACAUGAAAGGUUUCAUUCUCUAUAAAUAACUCUUGAGCCAUUCAUUUCAGCUCCCCAGACAGAGAAUCAGCAACGGAGUAUGUGAUCUGGAAGAUGAGAUUUGAAAAUGCAUAUGCUGUGCUCCAACGUUUCCUCAGUUGGAGAACAUACAAGUCUUUUGGUGCUUGUAUGAUAUGAAGAUGAAAAAACAGUAAAGCAGAGUGCUUAUCUUCAUAUUUUCAUAAUGAAAGCUCCCAAGCACAAGACACUGUGGCAGAUUUACAGCCUGUGAGCAGCAGAACUGACAGGCAUUUUAAUAUGAAAGGAGAUAUGAUGUCUUUAAUGUACAGUGAUGUCACUUCUAACAAGGUAGAAGCCUGCUUUUUGCACUGCAAUCAUCAUAAGAAGUGAAACCUGUCUGCUUCAGGAGCGACCUCUUAACCCAGGAAAAGGUCACAAAUAAUAGAAAAGAGAAGGGACUCUGCUUCCUCAGGUGGAAGGGCACACUGACGGAGGAGCGAGGCUAUUGUGAAUGUGCAUUAUCUCCAGGAAGUUGAAGCUAGAAAUAGUCUGGCUAGAGCUAACCUUGAGAGCAGAAAAGGAAAGGAUAACGAAAAUCCUCAAGGGAGUGUUAAACUGAAAGCUAGGUAGCCUGUUGACCACCCUUUUUCCUUUUAUUCAACAUUGAUUGGACCUAAUAACUUAAAAGUGAUAUUGACAGCCAUAUAGCCUGCCAUUAGCUGGGCACAUGAUUGUUUCACUAGGAGAGCACAGCACUCCAGUUUCAAAACUUACGUCUUUCAUUCUACGUUAGACCAACAAACAUAACACUUUGUCUAGGGAAUAUUUGCCAGUGAUUUUAAAGGCUGAUUUAAAAUGUUAUUUUCUUAAGUCCCUUCUUAAAUAUGCUUCCAGCCCCUAAGUGAAAGAUUUUAUCUAGGAAUUCUGAAGCUGUGCUGUUCUUAAACCAUGUAUGCAAGAAUAUAUGCUGAAAAGACCAUAAAAUGGCAAGAAAUCUCAAGGUGCAGUGAGUAUCUUGUGUUAGCAUUUGUCUGGUGACUGCAGUUAAAGACAGGAAGUUAAGGUAUAUGGGCAUACGUACCCUCAAGAGAGUCAGUUCCGUUAAACUGAGAUUGGAGAAAACCAACUUUUAUCACGUAAUUUGGUAUUUUGACAGUUUGUUCUUGAAAAGCAUACUAAAGGAUGAAAAAAAUACUGGCAACAUAAAAAGCAGCUCUUGAUUUCUUGCAGAAAUUGUAAUUUUAAAAGAAAAUGCUUCUCAGCAGGAACCUGAACCCUCUCGUUCUCCUAGCUGAGGUGCUGGGGCACUGAAACAGUAAUAUUCAGGUAAGGCAAAACAAAGGGGAAACCAGCGUUGGUCAGUCUGUGUAGCAUUAUCCCCAAAAGAAAGCACUGAUGUCAAUAUAGCUAUGUAUCUGCUCUCUACACAGUCUGAAAUGAUGGUUGUCUGGGAUCUUGGAGAUCCCUGUAAUAUUCCACAGCUAAUCCUGUAUCACUUUGAAUUUAAUUCUUACAAAUAUAUAU